rnacentral:lncRNA from 1 species
UUUGGUUCAGAAUAAGGCUUUAGUUUAGGUUCAGAAUAAGGCUUUGGUUUAGGUUUAGAAUAAGGCUUUAGUUUAGAAUAAGGCUUUAGUUUAGGUUUAGAAUAAGGCUUUAGUUUAGGUUUAGAAUAAGGCUUUAGUUUAGGUUUAGAAUAAGGCUUUAGUUUAGGUUUAGAAUAAUGCUUUAGUUUAGGUUUAGAAUAAGGCUUUAGUUUAGAAUAAGGCUUUAGUUUAGAAUAAGGCUUUGGUUUAGGUUUAGAUUGAAGACAUUUAUUCACUUCUCAACUGUUUUAUUUGAUGUUUGUAUUGAUUGUUUCAUUACAAUAUUUAAAGCUUAUACUAGCAUCUACAUCUCUACAGUUGAUGAAUUAUGCCUAGCUCUGUGUGUGUGUGUGUGUGUGUGUGUGUGUGUGUGUGUGUGUGUGUGUGUGUGUGUGUGUGUGUGUGUGUGUGUGUGUGUGUGUGUGUGGGGGGGGGGGUGUGUGUGUGUGUGUGUGUGUGUGUGUGUGUGUGUGUGUGGGUGUG